GCGGAAGGAGUAACAUGCAUAACUCAAAUAACAUAGUUCAACCAUUGCCAUUAUUUAGAAUUUCUUUUAUAAAGAAAACUCAUAUACAUGGUUCACAAAGGGUAUAUAGUUAUAGCUAGCAUAUAGUCUUUAUUUAAUAUAGUCUUUAUUUAGACAUAUAUACUAGUUAUAUCUUAACCACCAUUCAUGCAUAGCUUACAAGAUGAUUAUUAUUGUUGAUGUUUGGAGUUGAUUCGAAGCGUGAAUGAAAACGCCACGAAUGGAUGUGGUGUAAUUGUCGGCCUUCAUCUAUGGCAGCAGAUAUACCAAUUGUUAUGGUAUCCGGGAGAACAUC
rnacentral:lncRNA from 1 species